rnacentral:rRNA from 1 species
UACGGAGGAGGCAAGCGUUAUCCGGAAUUAUUGGGCGUAAAGCGUCCGUAGGUGGUUGGCCAAGUCUGCUGUCAAAGGGUGGGGCUUAACCUCAUAAAGGCAGUGGAAACUGGCGAGCUAGAGUGCGGUAGGGGUAGGGGGAAUUCCCAGUGUAGCGGUGAAAUGCGUAGAGAUUGGGAAGAACAUCGGUGGUGAAAGAGUCCUGCUGGGCCUGCACUGACAUUGAGGGACGAAAGCUAGGGGAGCGAAAGGG